AUUGAACGCUGGCGGCAUGCUUUACACAUGCAAGUCGGACGGCAGCACGGGUGCUUGCACCUGGUGGCGAGUGGCGAACGGGUGAGUAAUAUAUUGGAACGUACCGAGUAGUGGGGGAUAACUAAGCGAAAGUUUGGCUAAUACCGCAUACGACCUGAGGGUGAAAGCGGGGGAUAGGAAACUGCCUCGCGCUAUUUGAGCGGCCAAUAUCUGAUUAGCUAGUUGGUGGGGUAAGGGCUUACCAAGGCGAUGAUCAGUAGCGGGUCUGAGAGGAUGAUCCGCCACACUGGGACUGAGAGACGGCCCAGACUCCUACGGGAGGCAGCAGUGGGGAAUUUUGGACAAUGGGGGCAACCCUGAUCCAGCCAUGCCGCGUGUCUGAAGAAGGCCUUCGGGUUGUAAAGGACUUUUGUUAGGGAAGAAAAGGGAAGUGCUAAUAUCACUUUUGGCUGACGGACCUAAAGAAAAGC
rnacentral:rRNA from 1 species